rnacentral:lncRNA from 1 species
CCUGACCCUAUAGAACCCCCUGUGCCCCACAGACCCCCCCAUACCUGCUGUCCCCUCUAUAGGCCCCGUCCCCUAUAGAACCCCGCUAUUCAUGGCCACGCCCAUGGCACGCCCACGCCACGCCCCCUCCUAGGACCGUACCAUCUCCCCGUCCCCCCGCCCCCCGCCCGAGUGGAACGCGCCGACCGAGGCUAUAAAAGCGGGCGGAGCGCGCGGGGCGCAGUGCGGGCGCCACGUGGAGCGGGACGCGGGACGCGCGGCACCGCCAUGGCCUCCAACGAUUACAGCCAGACAGCCACCCAAAGCUACGGCGCUUACCCCGCGCCGCCCAGCCAGAGCUACUCGCAGGGCGGGGGGCAGAGCUACUCCCAGCAGAGCUACGGCGGCUACGGGCAGGGCUCGGACACGGGCUACGGCCAGGGGGGCUACGGAUCCUCCUACGGACAGAGCCAGAGCGGUGAGCAUGGAAAACAUUCCCCAAAUUCCCAAAAAAUACCAAAAUUCCCCAAAAAUCCCUGUGGUUCUGUGGUACUGUGCUCAAAAUCGGCACCUUCGGAGCCAAAAUUGGCUCAGAAUUGACCCAAAAGUGACGGAAAUUUGGCCUGGGCAGAGCCAGGAUGGUGAGUGAGGUCAGCAUUCCCAAAAUUCCCAGAAAGUUUCAAAAUUCCCAGAAAAUUUUCAGAAAUUCCCAAAAUUUCCCAAAAAUUCCCAUUCUUGUAUCAUAUUUUAAUCAAAAUCGGCACCUUUGGAGCCAAAAUGGAGCCAAAACUGACCCAAAACGACCUUGGCAGAUCCAGCACGCUGAGUGAGCUCAACAUUCCCGAAAAGGUCCCAAAAUUCCCAAAAAAUUCCUGAAAUUCCCAAAAAUCCGCAUGGUUCUAUCACGUUGGAACCAAAAUUGGCACUUUUGGAACCAAAACUGACCCAAAACUGACCCCAAGGGCAGGGCUCGGACACGGGCUACGGCCAGGGGGGCUCUGGAUCCUCCUACGGACAGAGCCAGAGCGGUGAGCAUGGAAAACAUUCCCAAAAUUCCCAAAAAAUCCCAAAAUUCCACAAAAAUCCCCACAGUUCUGGGGUACUGUGCUCAAAAUCGGCACCUUCGGAGCCAAAAUUGGCUCAGAAUUGACCCAAAAGUGACGGAAACUUGGCCUGGGCAGAGCCAGGAUGGUGAGUGAGGUCAGCAUUCCCGAAAUUCCCAGAAAAUUUGCAAAAUUCCCGAAAAAUUUUCAAGAAAUUCCCCAAAAUCACCAUUCUCGUAUCUCAUUUUAAUCAAAAUUGGCGCCUUUGGAGCCAAAAUGGAGCCAAAACUGACCCAAAACUACCUGGGCAGAUCUAGCGCGCUGAGUGAGCUCAACAUUCCCAAAAUUCCCAGAAAGUUUCAAAAUUCUUAGAAAAUUUUCAAAAAAUUACCGAAAUUUCUCAAAAAU